rnacentral:ribozyme from 1 species
CAAGGAAAGAAAGAAAGAAACAAAGAAAGAAAGAAACGAUCACUUAGAUGACCCGUGGGGUGGCCGACAGACGAACAUCUUGCGUGAUGCCAUGGUUUUCGUUUUUUC